UACGUAGGGGGCAAGCGUUGUCCGGAAUCAUUGGGCGUAAAGAGCGCGUAGGCGGCCCUGUAAGUCCGCUGUGAAAGUCAAGGGCUCAACCCUUGGAUGCCGGUGGAUACUGCAGGGCUAGAGUCCGGAAGAGGCGAGUGGAAUUCCUGGUGUAGCGGUGAAAUGCGCAGAUAUCAGGAGGAACACCGAUGGCGAAGGCAGCUCGCUGGGACGGUACUGACGCCGAGGCGCGAAAGCGUGGGGAGCAAACAGG
rnacentral:rRNA from 1 species